CCUACGGGAGGCAGCAGUGAGGAAUAUUGGUCAAUGGGCUUACGCCUGAACCAGCCAAGUCGCGUGAGGGAAGACUGCCCUAUGGGUUGUAAACCUCUUUUGUCAGGGAGCAACGCCGGCUACGUGUAGCCGGACUGAGAGUAACUGAAGAAAAAGCAUCGGCUAACUCCGUGCCAGCAGCCGCGGUAAUACGGAGGAUGCGAGCGUUAUCCGGAGUUAUUGGGUUUAAAGGGUGCGUAGGCGGAAUGCCAAGUCAGCGGUAAAAUCGCGGGGCUCAACCUCGCUCCGCAGUUGAAACUGGCGUUCUUGAGUGGGCGAGAAGUAUGCGGAAUGCGUGGUGUAGCGGUGAAAUGCAUAGAUAUCACGAAGAACUCCGAUUGCGAAGGCAGCAUACCGGCGCCCAACUGACGCUGAAGCACGAAAGCGUGGGUAUCGAACAGGAUUAGAUACCCCGGUAGUC
rnacentral:rRNA from 1 species